GUCCAGACUCCUACGGGAGGCAGCAGUAGGGAAUUUUGCGCAAUGGGGGAAACCCUGAUGCAGCGACGCCGCGUGAGUGAAGAAGUAUUUCGGUAUGUAAAGCUCUAUCAGCAGGGAAGAAAUAGCGACCUUUGGGUCGCCAGACGGUACCUGACUAAGAAGCCCCGGCUAACUACGUGCCAGCAGCCGCGGUAAUACGUAGGGGGCAAGCGUUAUCCGGAUUUACUGGGUGUAAAGGGAGCGUAGACGGUGAUGCAAGUCUGGAGUGAAAGGCGGGGGCCCAACCCCCGGACUGCUCUGGAAACUGUGUAACUUGAGUGCAGGAGAGGUAAGCGGAAUUCCUAGUGUAGCGGUGAAAUGCGUAGAUAUUAGGAGGAACACCAGUGGCGAAGGCGGCUUACUGGACUGAAACUGACGCUGAGGCACGAAAGCGUGGGGAGCGAACAGGAUUAGAUACCCCGGUAG
rnacentral:rRNA from 1 species